UACGUAGGGUGCAAGCGUUGUCCGGAAUUAUUGGGCGUAAAGAGCUCGUAGGCGGUCUGUCGCGUCGGAUGUGAAAAUCCAGGGCUCAACCCUGGACCUGCAUUCGAUACGGGCAGACUAGAGUUCGGUAGGGGAGACUGGAAUUCCUGGUGUAGCGGUGAAAUGCGCAGAUAUCGGGAGGAACACCGGUGGCGAAGGCGGUUCUCUGGGCCUGACCUGACGCUGAGGAGCGAAAGCGUGGGGAGCGAACAGG
rnacentral:rRNA from 1 species